rfam:Oryza sativa Japonica Group DNA, chromosome 4, cultivar: Nipponbare, complete sequence.
UUUAAGUGCAACCAUGAGUUUCUGUGUACAACUUUGAUUAUCCGUCUUAUUUGAAUUUUUCUUAUGAUUAGUAUUUUUAUUGUUAUAAGAUGAUAAAACAUAAAUAAUAAUUUAUGCGUGACUUAUGUUCUCAAAUUUUUUUAAAUAAGACGGAUGGUUAAAAUUGGGCACGGAAAAUUAUGGCUGCAUUUAUA